rnacentral:rRNA from 1 species
AACGUAGGUGGCGAGCGUUAUCCGGAUUUACUGGGCGUAAAGCGUGUGCAGGCGGCCUGUCAAGUGGUGUAUGAAAUAUCCAGCUCAACCUGGAGGGGUUAUGCCAGACUGGCAGGCUAGAGUGCGAGAGAGGGCGUGGAAUUCCGGGUGUAGUGGUGAAAUGCGUAGAGAUCCGGAGGAACCCAGAGGCGAAGGCGGCGCCCUGGCUCGCCACUGACGCUCAGACACGACAGCAUGGGAGCGAACGGG